UUAUCCGGAAUUAUUGGGCGUAAAGAGCUCGUAGGCGGUUUGUCGCGUCUGCUGUGAAAACCCGAGGCUCAACCUCGGGCCUGCAGUGGGUACGGGCAGACUAGAGUGCGGUAGGGGAGAUUGGAAUUCCUGGUGUAGCGGUGGAAUGCGCAGAUAUCAGGAGGAACACCGAUGGCGAAGGCAGAUCUCUGGGCCGUAACUGACGCUGAGGAGCGAAAGGGUGGGGAGCAAACAGGCUUAGAUACCCUGGUAGUCCACCCCGUAAACGUUGGGAACUAGUUGUGGGGUCCAUUCCACGGAUUCCGUGACGCAGCUAACGCAUUAAGUUCCCCGCCUGGGGAGUACGGCCGCAAGGCUAAAACUCAAAGGAAUUGACGGGGACCCGCACAAGCGGCGGAGCAUGCGGAUUAAUUCGAUGCAACGCGAAGAACCUUACCAAGGCUUGACAUAUACGAGAACGGGCCAGAAAUGGUCAACUCUUUGGACACUCGUAAACAGGUGGUGCAUGGUUGUCGUCAGCUCGUGUCGUGAGAUGUUGGGUUAAGUCCCGCAACGAGCGCAACCCUCGUUCUAUGUUGCCAGCACGUAAUGGUGGGAACUCAUGGGAUACUGCCGGGGUCAACUCGGAGGAAGGUGGGGAUGACGUCAAAUCAUCAUGCCCCUUAUGUCUUGGGCUUCACGCAUGCUACAAUGGCCGGUACAAAGGGCUGCAAUACCGCAAGGUGGAGCGAAUCCCAAAAAGCCGGUCCCAGUUCGGAUUGAGGUCUGCAACUCGACCUCAUGAAGUCGGAGUCGCUAGUAAUCGCAGAUCAGCAACGCUGCGGUGAAUACGUUCCCGGGUCUUGUACACACCGCCCGUCAAGUCAUGAAAGUCGGUAACACCUGAAGCCGGUGGCCCAACCCUUGUGGAGGGAGCCGUCGAAGGUGG
rnacentral:rRNA from 1 species